rnacentral:rRNA from 1 species
CCUUCGGGACUAGGGGUGAGGCUGAACGCUCGAUCCGAUCGGGUAGUAGGUAAGCGAUGGGGUGACGCAGGAAGGUAGUCCAGCCCAGGCGAUGGUUGUCCUGGGGUAAGCAUGUAGGGCGUGUCGUAGGUAAAUCCGCGGCAUUUAAGCCUGAGAUGUGAUGCCGAGCCGAUUGUGGUGAAGUGGAUGAUCCUAUGCUGCCGAGAAAAGCCUCUAGUGAGUGUUGUGGCGGCCCGUACCCUAAACCGACUCAGGUGGUCAGGUAGAGAAUACCAAGGCGAUCGGGUGAACUGUGGUUAAGGAACUCGGCAAAUUGCCCCCGUAACUUCGGGAGAAGGGGGACCUCUGUUGGUGAUGGGCUUUACGCCUGGAGCUGGUGGGGGUCGCAGUGGCCAGGGGGAAGCGACUGUUUACUAAAAACACAGGUCCGUGCGAAGUCGUAAGACGAUGUAUACGGACUGACGCCUGCCCGGUGCCGGAACGUUAAGGGGACCGCUUAGCUGACGUGAGUUGGCGAAGGUGAGAACUUAAGCGCCGGUAAACGGCGGUGGUAACUAUAACCAUCCUAAGGUAGCGAAAUUCCUUGUCGGGUAAGUUCCGACCUGCACGAAUGGCGUAACGACUUCCCCGCUGUCUCAACCGCAGACCCGGCGAAUUUGCACUACGAGUAAAGAUGCUCGUUUCGCGCAGCAGGACGGAAAGACCCCGGGACCUUCACUACAGCUUGACAUUGGCGUUUGGAACGUCUUGUGUAGGAUAGGUGGGAGACUGGGAAGCUGUCACGCUAGUGAUGGUGGAGUCAUUGGUGAAAUACCACUCUGGUCGUUUUGAACGUCUAACUCUGGUCCGUGAUCCGGAUCGGGGACAGUGUCUGGUGGGUAGUUUAACUGGGGCGGUUGCCUCCUAAAGAGUAACGGAGGCGCCCAAAGGUUCCCUCAGCCUGGUUGGCAAUCAGGUGUUGAGUGUAAGUGCACAAGGGAGCUUGACUGUGAGACUGACAGGUCGAGCAGGAGCGAAAGCUGGGACUAGUGAUCCGGCAUCGGCGUGUGGAAGCGGUGUCGCUCAACGGCUAAAAGGUACCCCGGGGAUAACAGGCUGAUCUUCCCCAAGAGUCCAUAUCGACGGGAUGGUUUGGCACCUCGAUGUCGGCUCGUCGCAUCCUGGGGCUGGAGUAAGUCCCAAGGGUUGGGCUGUUCGCCCAUUAAAGCGGUACGCGAGCUGGGUUUAGAACGUCGCGAGACAGUUCGGUCCCUAUCCGCUGCGCGCGCAGGAGACUUGAAGGGGGCUGUCCCUAGUACGAGAGGACCGGGACGGACGAACCUCUGGUGUGCCAGUUGUACCGCCAGGUGCACGGCUGGUUGGCUACGUUCGGAAGGGAUAACCGCUGAAAGCAUCUAAGCGGGAAGCUCGCCUUGAGAUGAGGUCUCCCACCACGAGAGUGGGUAAGGCUCCCGGUAGACGACCGGGUUGAUAGGCCGGAGGUGGAAGCACGGUAACGUGUGGAGCUGACCGGUACUAAUAGGCCGAGGACUUGACC